CCUUCGAUAGCUCAGCUGGUAGAGCGGAGGACUGUAG
rnacentral:tRNA from 1 species